UACGAAGGGGGCUAGCGUUGCUCGGAUUGACUGGGCGUAAAGGGCGCGUAGGCGGUGCGGUAAGUCACCUGUGAAAUCUCCUGGCUCAACUGGGAGCUUGCAGGCGAAACUGCCGUGCUGGAGUGUGGGAGAGGUGCGUGGAAUUCCUGGUGUAGCGGUGAAAUGCGUAGAUAUCUGGAGGAACACCGGUGGCGAAGGCGGCAUCCUGGACCAACACUGACGCUGAGGAGCGAAAGCCAGGGGAGCAAACGGG
rnacentral:rRNA from 1 species